GACGAACGCUGGCGGCGUGCUUAACACAUGCAAGUCGAACGGAAAGACCCUGCUUUUGUGGGGUGCUCGAGUGGCGAACGGGUGAGUAACACGUGAGUAACCUGCCCUUGACUUUGGGAUAACUUCAGGAAACUGGGGCUAAUACCGGGUAGGAGCUCCUGCUGCAUGGUGGGGGUUGGAAAGUUUCGGCGGUUGGGGAUGGACUCGCGGCUUAUCAGCUUGUUGGUGGGGUAGUGGCUUUCCAAGGCUUUGACGGGUAGCCGGCCUGAGAGGGUGACCGGCCACAUUGGGACUGAGAUACGGCCCAGACUCCUACGGGAGGCAGCAGUGGGGAAUAUUGCACAAUGGGCGGAAGCCUGAUGCAGCAACGCCGCGUGCGGGAUGACGGCCUUCGGGUUGUAAACCGCUUUCGCCUGUGACGAAGCGUGAGUGACGGUAAUGGGUAAAGAAGCACCGGCUAACUACGUG
rnacentral:rRNA from 1 species